UGAUACAGAUGUCACGGUGUUGAACACUGCUACGCUCAAGGAUUUGAAGCUGGCUAUCAGGAAGUGAUAGUCAGAUUUAUUUGUCUGAAACUGUGGAAGGAUGAAUUCUGACAUCCAUGUCAUCUAAUUCAUUCAUGCUGACAUGUGUUGAUCUAAUUAGUUGACAUCCUUCGAAAUGCUGCCAAUUUGUCUUUGCUAUUUAAUAUAUCCUAUGAUGGGCACUAAGGCACUGUUGAUCCACCAAAAAUUUCUUAGUUUAGAUGGGUGUCAUUAUCUAAAUAAGCUGAGGGUCACAAGAUGUAUGGUAUUAACCUGAAUUCUUAGUAGGCUCGAGAUGUUGAGUCCUAGCUGAAGUCAUGUUUUAGUUUGACUUUGCAUUGUGUAUUGAAUAGCUGAAUCUAUGUACAUAAGGUUAUUCAAGCCUGCUUGAAUUAGAUUCCAAGCUGGAGCUUAUUCUAAUUUUUAGUUUGAUUUUGCACUGAACUUGACCUGUUUGGUAUUGACUAGCUGAAUGUGUGUACACAAGGUUAGUCAAACCCAUUCGAAUGAAGGUCCCUAUCUUAACUAAUCUAUUUCAGUUAAGCUAAGGAGAAUAUAAUGUUCGAAGGUUGUCCUCUUAAAGAAGUAUGAGCUCAACAUAGAAAGAAUUUUCUCUCUAAGAUGUUACACUGGUAUCUAUAUUCUAAACUAGGAUCCCAUUUCUGUGACUCCAUGAAGCUUCGGUCAUGUGGUUAUAAGUUUAUCUAGGACACUACAUUGUUUGCCUGUCUGAUAUAACGAGAGCACUGACUGCAAAGAGUUCUUGGCAUCAGUAUUUGUUAACGCUAAAUUGUCAGAAAGUAUUAUACCUAUUCAUCCAAGAAAGGCUACUGUGUAGUAUGAGGAUUGUAGUGCUGUUAAAAUAAACUGUAGAUUUGGGAAGGCUCAACUAAUUUAUUGCUGUGCAGAUAGAACAUUACUAGAUGCUGGGAAAAAUAAACUGAGAAAAUUACGUGCCGACAUACGUGUUCUGUAAUUAAAAAGCUUCAGCUGCAUAAGUGUAAAACUAGUUAGAGAUCCUACCUUAUUGAAUGUUAGCUAUGCUUAAUAAUAUGGCCUUCUAAGUUCUAUCACAAUGUUACCUCUUCAGCUGUAUAAUAACUGUCAGGCUUGUAUUGUAUUCCCCAAAAGUGCCAACUUGUAAACCCUGCCUGAUGGACGUCAUAUACUGCUGGUCAAAGGUUGAGACAUCGAUUCUUAUCAUGCAUAAUCUUGACAUCUGAUGCAAUCAUACUCUGCAUCUGUAUUGCUGCUGCAGUUUUUGUAGUUAUAUUCUGUGUAGAGUCCUGAAACAUUUUCCUCACAGGGUGCCACCUUCGGAGAGGUGACAGAAAUGACUGACAUUUUUGAAGGAAGCAUCAUACGGCUAGUUAGGAGGCUGGAUGAAUUUCUGAAUCAGCUAAAAGCUGCUGCUGAAGCUGUUGGGGAGGUCAACCUUGAGAGUUUGCCAGCUAAAAGCUGCUGAAGCUUCUUGUUUCCCUUUCAUUUGUUAACUUGCACAGGGCAUGAUUGCUCUAUUGUCUAUUGUCUAGAAAAACUGAUCGCCUACCUGGGUGGCAUCUGCAUCGUGCUUUCCAGAUUAUUUGUGUGGUCAAAUGAAACGGUGAGUGGUAUUAAAAUGCUCAUGUAGACAGUGUUUAAGCAUUAGAAUGGUGUAGAUAGAGUUGCCCGGCAACUACAGUGUCUGUGAUAUUCGAGAUCCAGCGUAAAUAAGUGUUCAUCAGAAUAGAAUGUGAUUAUUUUUAUUGUUCUGGAUCUAUGACUCCGGUUGCAUAUCUUGUCAAACUCUUUUAGAGUUAUCUUGAUGAGUGUCCACGUCCCAAUAUUAUGACUAUCUCUAAUGAGUAUAAAUAUAAAUUAAUAUAGCUGUCAAUUUUAAGACAGAGCAAAGUGUCAAUGCAUUUCACACCUAUUGAUUCAUUAGGCUCGGUCAGUCGGUCUGAUCCUAUAGUGUUUAAAACUGAUAAUUAUGAUGCAUUGGUCCAUAUGGCCUUGUUUUUUGAUGCAUAUAUAUAUGAUGUAGUUGAUAGGCCUUGAUCUCAACCUCUCAAGUUUAUGUUUCCUUGUGUGUAGGUAACUUGUUAUUUUUAUUGGCAAGCCUGUAAUGAAUUUAUUAGAUUUUUGCUCCUAUUGCCGUGUACAGUAUGUCACAGGCUUGUGGAGCCUGUCAUUGUUCUUAGUGUGCUGUUGUGAUUCUUGAACGGUGUCAAUGGUCGUGUACAUGUGUCUUUUGUAGUAUAAAAAGGGCCACUAUCAGCCGUAGGAUUGGGAUUCAUGUUGUGAAGAUCAUGAAUAUAUAUAUCUCAUUUUGCUGCUCUAUGCCUCAUUCUAAUUCUUCUCUGAUUCAUGUAACAUGAUGACAGUGGAAGCCAUCUUGUUGUUUUGUUUGUUCCCGGCCUUGACUAUGGUCGUCGAGCGAGUCCGACAUGUUGUUCAUCUAGUAGAGCUUGUUAGGAGUCUGAAUCUAAGAACUUGUAGAGCUUGUUAGUAUUACAAUUGUAGAGCUUGUUACACUUGUAGAGCUUGCAAAGCAGUAUGGUCUUCUGUUUUGGAAUGGAUAGAGCUUGUAUUAUGUGAUCUUGUUGCUCUUAUUUAUGUAUCAUGUGUGUUUUUGUC